UUGCACUUGACACGAGUGGCGCACGGGUGCGUAACGCGUAUGCAACCUACCCUUUACUGGGGGAUAGCCCGGAGAAAUUCGGAUUAAUACCCCAUGGUAUCGUGAACUGGCAUCGGUUUAUAAUUAAAGAUUUAUUGGUAAAGGAUGGGCAUGCGUGACAUUAGCUAGUUGGUACGGUAAUGGCGUACCAAGGCGAUGAUGUCUAGGGGUUCUGAGAGGAUGAUCCCCCACACUGGUACUGAGAUACGGACCAGACUCCUACGGGAGGCAGCAGUAGGGAAUAUUGGUCAAUGGACGGAAGUCUGAACCAGCCAUGCCGCGUGCAGGAAGACGGCCUUCUGGGUUGUAAACCGCUUUUAUCAGGGAACAAAUAGCCCAUGCGUGGGAAGUUGAGUGUACCUGAAGAAUAAGCACCGGCUAACUCCGUGCCAGCAGCCGCGGUAAUACGGAGGGUGCAAGCGUUGUCCGGAUUUAUUGGGUUUAAAGGGUGCGUAGGCGGUCAAUUAAGUCAGUGGUGAAAUCCUCCAGCUCAACUGGAGAACUGCCAUUGAUACUGGUUGACUUGAGUACAGACGAGGUAGGCGGAAUUUAUGGUGUAGCGGUGAAAUGCAUAGAUACCAUAAAGAACACCGAUAGCGAAGGCAGCUUACUAGACUGUAACUGACGCUGAGGCACGAAAGCGUGGGGAGCGAACAGGAUUAGAUACCCUGGUAGUCCACGCUGUAAACGAUGAUUACUCGAUGUGUGCGAUAUACAGUACGCGUCUUAGCGAAAGCGUUAAGUAAUCCACCUGGGGAGUACGCUCGCAAGAGUGAA
rnacentral:rRNA from 1 species